UACAGAGGGUGCGAACGUUGCUCGGAAUUACUGGGCGUAAAGCGCGUGUAGGCUGACCUAUAAGUCAGAUGUGAAAUCCCUGGGCUCAACCCAGGAACUGCAUUUGAAACUGUGGGUCUUGAGUUUCGGAGAGGAUAGUGGAAUUCCUAGUGUAGAGGUGAAAUUCUUAAAUAUUAGGAGGAACAUCAGUGGCGAAGGCGACUAUCUGGACGAAUACUGACGCUGAGACGCGAAAGUGUGGGGAGCAAACAGG
rnacentral:rRNA from 1 species